rnacentral:rRNA from 1 species
AUUGAACGCUGGCGGCAGGCCUAACACAUGCAAGUCGAGCGGAUGAAGGGAGCUUGCUCCUGGAUUCAGCGGCGGACGGGUGAGUAAUGCCUAGGAAUCUGCCUGGUAGUGGGGGAUAACGUCCGGAAACGGGCGCUAAUACCGCAUACGUCCUGAGGGAGAAAGUGGGGGAUCUUCGGACCUCACGCUAUCAGAUGAGCCUAGGUCGGAUUAGCUAGUUGGUGGGGUAAAGGCCUACCAAGGCGACGAUUCGUAACUGGUCUGAGAGGAUGAUCAGUCACACUGGAACUGAGACACGGUCCAGACUCCUACGGGAGGCAGCAGUGGGGAAUAUUGGACAAUGGGCGAAAGCCUGAUCCAGCCAUGCCGCGUGUGUGAAGAAGGUCUUCGGAUUGUAAAGCACUUUAAGUUGGGAGGAAGGGCAGUAAAUUAAUACCUUGCUGUUUUGACGUUACCAACAGAAUAAGCACCGGCUAACUUCGUG